rnacentral:rRNA from 1 species
UACGUAGGGGGCUAGCGUUGUCCGGAAUCAUUGGGCGUAAAGAGCGUGUAGGCGGCCCGGUAAGUCCGCUGUAAAAGUCAAAGGCUCAACCUUUGAAUGUCAGUGGAUACUGCCGGGCUAGAGUCCGGAAGAGGCGAGUGGAACUCCUGGUGUAGCGGUGGAAUGCGCAGAUAUCAGGAGGAACACCAAUAGCGAAGGCAGCUCGCUGGGACGUUACUGACACUGGAGGCGCGAAAGCGUGGGGAGCGA